AUAUGCGAUCAUACUAAUGUAUCGGUUUUCAUCAGAACUCUGCAGUUAAGCGUGUUUGAACGAGAGUAUUACUAGGAUGGGUGACCUCCCGAGAAGUCCUCGUGUUGCAUCCC